rnacentral:misc_RNA from 1 species
UCUCCGUUGGUGAACCAGCGGAGGGAUCAUUACAGGAUUCGCAAGAACUCCCGUAACCACUGUGAACCUUACCUUCUGUUGCCUCGGCGGGGCCUACCCGGUACCGACCCCUUUUGGGCGAAGUUACCCUGUAGCCCGCCGGUGGAUUUUCAAACUCUUGUUAUUUUAAUGUUAUCUGAGCGUCUUAUUUUAAUAAGUCAAAACUUUCAACAACGGAUCUCUUGGUUCUGGCAUCGAUGAAGAACGCAGC